rnacentral:rRNA from 1 species
CCUACGGGUGGCAGCAGUGAGGAAUAUUGGUCAAUGGACGAGAGUCUGAACCAGCCAAGUAGCGUGAAGGAUGACUGCCCUAUGGGUUGUAAACUUCUUUUAUAUGGGAAUAAAAUGUUCCACGUGUGGGAUUUUGUAUGUACCAUAUGAAUAAGGAUCGGCUAACUCCGUGCCAGCAGCCGCGGUAAUACGGAGGAUCCGAGCGUUAUCCGGAUUUAUUGGGUUUAAAGGGAGCGUAGGUGGUUUGUUAAGUCAGUUGUGAAAGUUUGCGGCUCAACCUUAAAAUUGCAGUUGAAACUGGCAGUCUUGAGUACAGUAGAGGUGGGCGGAAUUCGUGGUGUAGCGGUGAAAUGCUUAGAUAUCACGAAGAACUCCGAUUGCGAAGGCAGUUCACUGGACUGCAACUGACACUGAGGCUCGAAAGUGUGGGUAUCAAACAGGAUUAGAUACCCGUGUAGUC